rnacentral:lncRNA from 1 species
AGAAGGCAGCCACGUGGCACCACCUGCACUGCCUGCAGCUUCUGUUGCACCUGGGGCAGAGCUACGCUUGGCUGCUGACACCUAUGAGAAGGCAGGCAUGGUGGACCUUCCGCAAAGCUGAAGGCCUGAAUAGAACAAAAAGGCUCACCGUCCCAUGAAUAGAGAGAACUCCUCCUGCCUGACUGCUGUGAGCUGGGACAUCCAUUGUUUUCUGUUUUUUGGAUUUGAACUGAAACAUCAGCUCUUCCUUGAUCCUGAACCUGCUGGCUUUCUGACCGGAACUUGCACCAACAGCUCUCCUAGUUCUCAGGCCUUUGGACUUGGACUGGAAUUACACCAUCAAAUCUCCUGGGUCUCCAGCUUGCCAUCUGCAGAUCUUGGAACUUCUUAACCUCCACAUCCUGUGAGCCAAUUCCUU